CAGCCCCCAGUGAGUGCCCGGCCUGGCUGCGAGGACACUGCUGCCCUGCCAGGCUCCCCCAGAGCCAACGCUGAGGUGGGGCACUCCUCUGACCCCAGCACGGACCUUCACCCUGAAACCCCACUGAGGCCAGACGCCUCACACUACAGCUGAGGGCCCCAGCCCACACCCCCAGCCUUGUGGGGCCAGCAGGCUCUCGGAUCAGGAAGGAAGCUUCCUGCCCCCAUCCUGAGUCCCCCAUUCACGUUGCCAGCUGGGCCUGCUCCAGCCAGCCUGACAGAGAGCUCCAUUCACAGAGACUGAGGAGACACUGGGCGUUGUCCUGUGUGUCCGGCGGCAGGAGAGGAGGCCCGGCCACCUGCUCCCCUGGCUGAGUGGGGGCAGAAAGGGACAGCUGCUGCUGUUCCCGCGGGGGAUGCAGUCCAGCUCAGCCCAAGUCCCCGCUGGUGCCAGCCGCCGCCGCGUGCUCGCAGCAAAGGCACUCCCACUCACCUGCAGCAGCGUCUGAGGGGGCCAGGAGCAGGAGGGGGUGCAAAGAGGGAGAGAGAGCCGAUGAGUGGGCUCCCAGUGGUCUGGGAACAGUCACUCCUACCUGCAGCCCACCUCUCUACCCUGGGGCUGUCUGGGCAAGAGCCAGCAACUGAGGCCUCAGAGACCACCACUGGCCUCGAAGGAAGGAAACCCCGGGUCCCCGCUCUAGCCCCAGCCCCAGCAUCUGGAACCCGGAUGGGCUGGCUCACCUGCCCACCCAGGCUGGCCUCUAAGUGACCCCUAAGUGACCGAUGCCCCUCCUACUCUGCCGUUUUGAGGCUCCUAAGAAUGGAGACCUCUCUGGAGAGAGUGGGCAGCUCAGUCGGCUCAGUCGUUAAGCAUCCGACUUCAGCUCGGGUCAUGAUCUCACGGGUUCAUGAGUUCAAGCCCCGUGUCGGGCUCUGUGCUGGCAGCUCGGAGCCUGGAGCCUGCCUCGGAUUCUGUGUCUCCCUCUCUCUGCCCCUCCCCCACUCGUGUUCUGUCUC